ACAAACAUGAAUAUUUUAAUCCUUUAAGGCUGCAAGCAUGCCACUCAAAGAUAAGGGAGGUGAACCAAGAAAAAGGAAAAAUAUUUUGUUAUAUUUUUCAAAAGAUCAACCACCAAAGAAAAAUUAUUCAUCUGAGACAGAACAGACAGACUAGCAGAGGUUGAGAGGUUAGUGUUGUGGGCAAAAUCAUUCACAAUACUAUGACAUUUCUUAGACAAAUGUCAUUCUAAUCGGCAUGUAGACAACUUUUCGUUUCUUUUCUUUUUCUAUCUGAAGAGCGGCAGCAGUGGCGCAAACGCAUGCCUUCGGACAAUGUAGUUCACUAAUCAUAAAUUCCCACACUGCUUCACGGCUGCCGGCCUCCAUUUCCCAUCGUCUCUCGGGGCUGCUGCCCUCCGCAGUGUUGUUUUCCUGCUCAGACGCGGCUAGUUCAAGUUGCCAUAGCACGGUGAAGCUGAGGGUUCUUCUGUUAGUCAUCACUCGGGGGACGUAAAAGUACCGUCUCUCUUUUAACGUACUCCUAACGACGGCGUAUUUUCCCUCAGUUUUUGUUUUGUAGUUUUUAUAGUUUUGUCACCGGGUUAAAUUAGUUGGCUAACGUUUGGUUAGCUAGCUAGCUAACGUUCAGAGUAGUGCCCACUUGUUGCUAACCAGGAGGAGCAUCAAUCAAAACAAUGCCCCGGACGGUGAUCUGGGAAGGGGGCAGUUUGAGUUGUCGUGAGUUGCUUGUCGGAUAGGUUUUUGUCUUAACGGUUUAUUAAAUUAACUAUGUUAAAGCUCCCGUUUCUGUUUGCUAUGACAGAAUCAUCCCGUGGAACAAAACUUAAAAACAAUCCCACUUUGUUCGUUAAUCAGAUUACAGUUGUCAGUUAGCGUCUUCCGCCGGCGAAACUAGUGCUGGUCACUAAUCGUCAUAUUUGCCUUGUCAGUCGUUUUUUUUUGUUUGUUUGGCUCAAAAUAUGGAUACAUCCAGCGGGUCAGAUUCAUACGACAGGAUGCGGGGACACAGGCCGCGGGGACGAGAAACCCACCGCAAAUGUGGCCGGGAUAGAGGCAGAACCGGUGGGAGUGGAGGCGAUGGGCCACCCGCAGACAUCUCCGAGAAAAUCAGCACCCUGGCAAACACCUUACAGGACACCAGUAGAAACUUGACCAAAGUAGAUAGAAUGCUGGGUCAAUACAGGGAGCAUACAGAUGAUCAGGCCGAAGCCAUGGCUCUGCUUAGAGAGAACCUGGAGGAGUCAAUCAGUCAGUUGCAGGCUCAGAGGCUGAGCAGACCCAAUGGGACUCGGAGUGCUUCAGCCUCGGCCUCUACUCUGCACACCAGUGACCUGGACGCCUGCUCAGAAUCAGAAGGCCAGCGCUUCUACCCUACUUCUCCGCUGAAGGACUAUACAAGCACCCCAGGAAGGAGGAGGAGGUCUCACUCUGCCAGUGUUCGCUUCAAGGAGAGCAGCCUGGCAGGAGAAGAUAUUCACACGAUGCACCAAUCCCUGCGGGAUCUGCGCUGCAACCAACAGAGACUGUCUGAUGACCUGGAUAGAGAAAUCCUCAGGAGAAACAGGUCUGAUAUUGACACCAGGCGGGCGAUGGAGAGCCUCACAGAGCACAUGACAGCUUCCCAGAGACAGGACUCAGUGUCGUCUCGUGUGGAGCGGCGGCUGCAGGAGCUACAGAGAGAAAUCCACAACGAGCAGAGGAGCGUGGAGAGGGAGAGAAGGCCGGAGCAGCGGGUUGCCAUGUCUGAUGAGCUGCAGGAGAAUUUAGGAAGACGCCAAGUUCAAUCCCAUGAGAGAGACGAGGCCAUGACAGCCAGGCUUCUCAAAGCAGAGAGGGAGAAAUCCAAGAUGGAGCAGGAGCUAGACAGAGCCAGAAGAUUACUGGAACAGUCAGAGGAUAGCAGGGAGUCCCUCGUACAAGAGGUGGAGGACAUGCGCUGUGAGCUGCUGAGGACAAAGAAGGAGAACACAGGGCUUCAGAGGGCACGGCUGGAGACUUCUCAGCCCAGUGCUCAGCCACAUGGCAACCACACUGACAGGGAGGGGGGAAGAGCUGGAUUGCAAGAUCGUUCAGACCUGGAAAAAGAAGUGGCAGAGCUGCGAGUUCAAUUGUGCAAAGUGUCCGUCCAGAGUGAGGUUGAGGAGCUGAAGAGGGCUCUGAACCGGAAGGAGAAGGAGAGGGUUGAACUCAGCUUGCAGGUGAAGGAAUUAUCAUCAGACCUGACGGCUCGGGAGCAACAGCAGCUACGAAUGCUGGAAAAGCUGAGGGACAUACAGAGCCGCGGACCAGCUGAGAGGAGGGAGAUGGAGGCAUUACUGCAGGAGAGCACAAGGAGCAGAGAUGAAUUGAAGACCAGGGCCCAAGAGGCUGUUCGCCAGUGGAGGGCAAAGUGCAGGAGAUUGCAGAAGGGGCUGGACGAGGCUCAGGCUCAGGUUCAAUUUCACACCGACAAGGCCUCACAGGCAGCCAGGGAAAAGGGAAGCUCUCAGGCCCAGCUGAAGGCGCUGAGCCAGCAGACUGAGGCAGCCCGCAGGGAGCUCGCUGAAAUCCUAGGCCGGUUGGCCCAGCGCGAGGAAGAGCUCCACCGCAAGGACGUGGAGCUGUCGGAGAAUCACCAGCGCCAGUUGUCACUGCAGCAGGAAAUCCGGGAGGUGAGAGAGGCCUCAGCUACCCUGGAGGAGGAGGCUCAGCGUCAGGCUGCCAUCCUAGCAAGACUGAGAGAAGAGAACCAGAGGCUGCAAGAACGAGCUGACACUCAAGCCCGUCGCUGUCAGAGGGACCAGGAUGCUCAGGCCGAGCUCCAGGCAGCCCUGAAGCAGAUGACCACAGCCCAUGCUCAGCUCGCCCAGCGGCUGGCUGAGGAGGAGAGUUCCAGGAAGGAGCUCCAGAAGGGCACCUCAGAACUUCAGGUCAAGCUGACAGCGCUGCAGGAGGAGCGAGACGCCCUGAGCCAGCAGCUGCAGCUUGAGAGAGAGGUGCAUCAGAAGGAACUAGACAACACGAAGGCCAUGGUGGAGGACAGCAGGAUAAAAAAGGAUCGGGAGGUGCAAGACAUGCUGGGGCUCUGCCGCCAGGAGCGAGAGGAAAUACAGUCACACCUGAGGGAGGUCAAGGCAGAUGCAGCAUCAGACAAGGAGCUGUGUGGGGCGCUGCACAUCAAGUUGGACAGGAUGAAGGAUGAGUGUGAUAAGCUGGCAGCACAGCUGAGCACAAAAGACGAGGCACAUGCACUUCUUCACCGAAAAUACCAGCUACUUAAACAGGAGGUGGAGGACAAAGUCAGGUCAGGUGAACGGAGACGUGCCUCCGAGUCAGAAUUUGUUAAGCUGGAGCAGAAAGUGCUGCAAAUGGAAGCAGAGCAGGAGGCCGUUUUAACCUCUAUGGGCGAGGAACUAGACGCUGCCUGUCGUAGUCUGGCGAGGAACGGUGAAGACAAACUGCAGGCGAUCUCCCAAAGACCCGGCUUAGUGAAAGACCCCCAUCGCUGGCUAGCUGAGACCAAGACAAAGCUGCGUUGGCUGUGUGAAGAGGUUCGGGAGCGUGACACAAGAGAACAGCGCCUGAGGAGGCAGCAUCAACAGACCCGGGAUCAGUUGAAAGCCCUCAGGCAGAGCCGGGACUCGGAGCAGGCGACGCUCCUGCAGCGUCUGGACCAACAGGAGAAGCUCAUGCACUCGCUCAGCACUGAAAAGAAAGAGCUGCUGGAGAGGAGUCGGAGGAAGGAGGACGAAAUGAGAAGCCUUCAGGAUCGUGUAUUGGAUCUGGAGAUGAACACAAGAGUAGCUCUGGACCACUUGGAGUCGAUUCCAGAGAAACCAUGUUUGAUGGAGAACUUCAAAGAUCUGGAGGAGUCGCAGCAGCAGAGGGAGUUGGUAGAACAGCGCUACACUAAAUACAAAGAGAUCGUCUGGGACCUGCAGCACCAGCUGGACGAGUCCAAACGCAGAAUCCAAGAGUACAGGGAUGAGAAGUUGGACGCCACUUCCAGGAGCCUCAGACUCGCUGCACUUUCUUCCUCCAUCAAAGACUCCAACACUUUCCUGAGCAGCUCGCUGAGAUCUGACACACUAUCACCUCACAAACGCCUGACCAGCUCAGACCUGGACGCUUCUGAAGGCAAUAAGGCCAAACAUCUGACAGAUUAAAGGAAACCUUUAUCUGUAUCUCUACAAACUGUGACUCUACCUGCCUGGUGCUCCACCGUAGUAGGAGGCCUCACACUCCACACUAAUCCUCCUCGACUCCCUCAACCAGGAAGUCACUGAAGGCGCUCAGGAGCAGGAGGGUUUCCCAGAGACUAUGGGUUGAGGAGGAAUUGGAAGUUUGUCGGCUUAGACCUGGUGUCAUUCCAUCAGUGUUAAACUUCCCGGCUCAUCUUGGAAGAGUACGUGCCAGAAAGACCACGACCAAGCAGCCUUGAGAUCUUAGGCAGCGUCUCCCUCAGGUCCCUCUCUAUCUCCCCACACAUCCACCAACCACUGGAACACAUCUCCAAAGUUCUGCUGGACCAGCUCAGCUUCCCCUCAGAAGAAGUGGCGCCACCUGCCAGAUGAAGGAGCCUUUUGAGAGACAGCUGGCAUCGUGAUUGGACUGUACUUUGGUCUGUUCCAAUCCAGCUUCAGCUCCAGAGACGGCAGGCGGGACGAGUCAACGGAGGCCGGAUGGACGAAGUCAUGAAGCUGAGUACAAUCCAGAAAACAACAGAGGAGGAAUGCAGGGUCCAGGGCCAGAACAACCAGAGUAGCAUUGUAUGUCUCUGAGAAAACAUCAUAGUAUAGCCUUUGGUAUGAAAAAACACCAUCAUAUACAUCGUAUAUUGUACAAAUAACAAGUCAAAGCAAAGAGACAUACAUUGUCGAAUUGUAGUAAUUGUGGGCUGACUGAUUUACUGAUUAUCAGUAUUUUAUUUUUUACUGAUUUACGGUAAUAAAUACAUUUAAAAAUGGUGCUACUUUGGCUCUGAACCUUUAUCUACCUGUGGUCGCUCUGUCUUCUGGAGUGAUUUGAUUGGUUAUACGUCACGAAUAAAACUCCUAUAACUUAACAUCUGUAAACAAAACAAAAACGUAUCAACAAAGUUUUCUGUUAGAGUUUGUGUUCUUCUAAGUUUAACUCCAAGAUUUUAAAUACUUUCAUUUACUGCAAAUGAAUAUCUACUCCAAAUGUCUCACUAAUAAUCAUUAUCAGCCUUAAAAACCCACAAAACACCCCUCUAUACUCGACCACACUUAGUACAGUCCGGUUCCCCCUUCUAUAAAUCAGCUUGGAAUCUUCCACUUCCUGUUUGUCAAAGUGGCCUUCUACCUGGACAGGUUUUGUUGGAGCUCAUGCAACAAACAUUUUGGGUAACUGCACUUUAAUAUGGAUGGAUGACACUGAAUUAGAGUCUGUUUUAAUGAGACUGAGUUAAGAUGUGUAGCUCUGUCAUUAAAUAGGAAAUUAUUUCCAGAAUUCACAGAGAAAAAUCUGAAAUGUUUGCUAGGUUAGCGUCCCACAUGUUCUUUGGCUCAGCUAAAGCUAACUCUCUCCAACUUCUGGAUCUCUUGAGUUGCUUGUUGUUAAAAUAUCUUGCUAGAGGUGCUGAAGCUCAGAAAGUCUGAGAUGUUUGUUCAAAAUAAGCUCAUUCUCAAGUCUUAUCUGAACUGUCCUCUUUUGUUUGAACUUUCCCUAAACUUAGGAGUUAAUGACAGAGCAGCACAUCCAGACUCAGUCUCAUUUAUGUAGAGAUUAAACUUCAGUGUCAUUCAUUGAUGUUAAAGUGCAGUUUUUCAAAUGUUUGUUGCAUAUGCUCCCGACCAAACCAGUCCAGGUGGAAGACGAUGUGAAGAGAAAGCUCCAGAGGAUGAAUAUCACACAUUUACAUUGGAAAUUAAUGUCCUUUAAUUAGACAUUGUCAUGCAAAAGUUGGAUUUCCCUUUAAUGAUGUUCAAAUCUUUGUUGAAUGCUUUGUUGAUGUUGGUUUCUAAAUGUUUUUUGACACUCGGCCCCAAAGAUUAAAACCUUCUACGGCUCACAAGCUGCAACAAUUCACACAUUAUCAACUGUCUUUCUGACUAAACUAAGAUAAAAAGUGAAAAACUGCCUGAUUCCUACAUCAUGAAUGUAAAUCUUUUUGGUUUUUAUGACAGUAAACUCAGUAUAUUUGGGCUUGACAUUUUAUAAACCAAAACAAGAAAUGAAUUACUGGAGAAAACAAUCAACAGAUUAAUGGACAAAGAAAAUGUGUUUUCCAACAUAUAUGGCUGAAUUACUCCAACAUCACAAGAUACAUACAAUUUAAAUUCUAUUUUAUUUAUAUAAUGCCAGUUACAGGUCAAAUUGUCUCAAGACGCUUUAUUUUUAUAUUUUUUUGUCAUACUGAAAAUAUGACAAAGUAAGAAAUUUAAAGCUCUUGACUAACCCAAUUUAUUAUUUGGUUUUUAAGAGAUUAAUCAACAAUUAAAAUAACUUUCUCCACUAAAACUAAUAAACAUGAGGUCAAAUAGAAGGAACAGUUUUAAAUACUGCAGUCCCACGACGACAAGAAUAAAGUUUGUCAACAAAAACUAAAUCUGCUGGUGGAUUCCAUUAAAGUCCUAAUAAAUGAUAAUAAAGUGUGAUACUAAAGGUUUGUGGUGCUAAAAAUGUCAAAGUAAAGAUAUCAAGUUGAACAUCUGGAUGGAGGUUGAUAAAAGUUGACCUCCCUUCAUUUCUCUGGAGCGACUCCAUGGAUUUUAUGGAUGGUGGUUAAAGACCUGCUCUUCUAGUCUUCUUCCUUCUAGUCGCUGUAAAAAGUCAGUCCAUCCUGGCCGACUUCAACACCUCUUCAUGACAACUUGUUCUGCCUCCGACCUGGUGGAAACUCCAGAAACUCGGGAAAACCUGUGGAGACUCGAAGAACUCGUGGAGACUCGAA